UCUCUCUUUUCUUUUCCUCUAUUGUACUCUCUCUCUAUCUUACUUUUAUAUUCUCAUUUAUCUUCUUUAGUAUCUCUAUCUAUUCUCUUUCAUUUGUCUAAAUUGAUGUUUCUUUUCCUCCUCUUUUUUAUCUGCUGUAUUGAAGCUAUAUCAGAUUAUGUGAUCUUACAGUGCUACAGAUGACAUCAUUCCUUCUCUAUUUUAUCUUAAUCUUUCUCUUUUCUACACUGUUUCUACUUCUCUAUAAGAUAAUGAAGAAAACUGUCUCUUGAUGAACUGAGAGAAUACUCUCUCUCUACUUUCUGUAAAGUCUUUCAGAUACAGCAGUGGUGAUCUUUAUCAGAGAAUCAUACUAUAGCUCUAUCAUAAAUGAUUAUAUAUUGAG
rnacentral:sRNA from 2 species